rnacentral:rRNA from 1 species
CCUACGGGUGGCAGCAGUGGGGAAUAUUGGGCAAUGGGCGCAAGCCUGACCCAGCAACGCCGCGUGAAGGAAGAAGGCUUUCGGGUUGUAAACUUCUUUUGACAGGGAAGAGUAGAAGACGGUACCUGUCGAAUAAGCCACGGCUAACUACGUGCCAGCAGCCGCGGUAAUACGUAGGUGGCAAGCGUUGUCCGGAUUUACUGGGUGUAAAGGGCGUGUAGCCGGGCCGACAAGUCAGAUGUGAAAUCCGGGGGCUCAACCCCCGAACUGCAUUUGAAACUGUUGGUCUUGAGGAUCGGAGAGGCAGGCGGAAUUCCUAGGGGAGCGGGGAAAUGCGUAGAUAUUAGGAGGAACACCAGUGGCGAAGGGGGCCUGCUGGAAGACAACCGACGGGGAGGCGCGAAAGCGUUGGGAGCAAACAGGAAUAGAUACCCCAGUAGUC